rnacentral:rRNA from 1 species
GACGAACGCUGGCGGCGUGCCUAAUACAUGCAAGUUGAGCGCUGAAGGUUGGUACUUGUACCAACUGGAUGAGCAGCGAACGGGUGAGUAACGCGUGGGGAAUCUGCCUUUGAGCGGGGGACAACAUUUGGAAACGAAUGCUAAUACCGCAUAAAAACUUUAAACACAAGUUUUAAGUUUGAAAGAUGCAAUUGCAUCACUCAAAGAUGAUCCCGCGUUGUAUUAGCUAGUUGGUGAGGUAAAGGCUCACCAAGGCGAUGAUACAUAGCCGACCUGAGAGGGUGAUCGGCCAAAUUGGGAGUGAGAAACGGCCCAAACUCCUACGGGAGGCAGCAGUAGGGAAUCUUCGGCAAUGGACGAAAGUCUGCCCGAGCAACGCCGCGUGAGUGAAGAAGGUUUUCGGAUCGUAAAACUCUGUUGGUAGAGAAAAACGUGGGUGAGAGGGGAAAGCCCAUAAAGGGGCGGAAAUUACCCAAAAAGGGCCGGCUAACUCCGU